UACGGAGGAUGCGAGCGUUAUCCGGAUUUAUUGGGUUUAAAGGGUGCGCAGGCGGAAUGUCAAGUCAGCGGUAAAAUCGCGGGGCUCAACCCCGCUCCGCCGUUGAAACUGUGUCCCUUGAGUGCGCGAAGGGUAGGCGGAAUGCGUGGUGUAGCGGUGAAAUGCAUAGAUAUAACUUAGAACACCGAUAGCGAAGGCAGCUUACCAGACUGAGUCUGACGCUGAUGCACGAGAGCAUGGGUAGCGAACAGG
rnacentral:rRNA from 1 species